GCCAAAAAUAUAAAAUCCAAAAGUGUCACAACAAAUGUCAAAUACAAUAAACGGUGGUAUUUAAGAAGAAAAAUAAAUCUAAAAAUGAGUCACAUUUGAAAUAACAUUUUGUUUAUAUAAAUGGCCUCACUCCCAUCAAUCGGUUUCUUUCUCUCUUUAUUUCAUCCUCUUUGUUUACUUUUGAAGAAUGUUCAA